ACCACUGGCGCUAUCGCGCAAUAUUCGUUUUACCUGAAAACACCCUCUUAAACGCUUACGAAGCUUCUUUCCACCAUGAAUAGGCCAGGUCCUGGCCAACAGCAGUUGCGGGGGAUGUCAGGCUUCCCCACCCAGCAACAGCCCCAAACACGAACCACAAAUCCGUCAUUAGCUUCUACGCGCCUCCCAAAUGGAACGGGUGCAAACUGGGGAUUUGGGUUGCCAAUGGGGGGUGCACCCGGGUUACAAAGUAGCCAGCUAAGGACUGUGAAUACCAUGAACAGCUUUGCACAAGGCAUAAGUGGAUCUCAACCAGCAACACCAUUAGACCUCUCCGAAUUUCCCUCCCUCUCC
rnacentral:sRNA from 1 species